GCAGCGGCGGCGGAAUGGGGCGGGGAGGGAGCGCGUUGCGCCUGGCGCUGGAGGGGAACAUCGCCGUGGGAAAAUCGACCUUCCUGAGGCUGCUGGGUGCCACCUUCCCCCAGUGGCACUUGGUGACCGAGCCUGUGACCCAAUGGCGCAAGGUGCCAGGCAGCAGCGCGGCCGAGGCAGCUGUGGGCUCCAACAACCUUCUCCAGAUGAUGUACCAGGAGCCAGCACGGUGGUCCUACACCUUCCAGACCUUCUCCUGCAUCAGCAGGAUGAAGAUGAUGCUGGAGCCACCUCCCGAGCAGCUCCCUGGCACCCCCCACCCUGUCAGGGUUUUUGAGCGCUCGGUCUACAGCGACAGGUACGUCUUUGCCAAGAACCUCUCUGAGGCUGGGCACCUGCAGCCCCUGGAGUGGGCCAUCUACCAGGACUGGCACGAGUUCCUGCUGCGCCACCUGGGCACCCACGUUGCCCUCCACGGCUUCCUCUACCUUCGGGCCACACCUCAGCGGUGCCUGGAGCGGCUGCGGCGCAGGGCGAGGAGCGAAGAGGGUGGCGUCCAGCUGGGAUACCUGCAGCAGCUCCAUGCCCAGCACGAGCAGUGGCUGGUGGACAGGACCACAGACCCCUUCUCUCCUUCCUGCCUUCAGGGUCCACUUUGAGGAGGUGAAGCAGGCGCCUGUCCUGGUGCUGGAGGUGGAGAAGGACUUUGAGCACGAUGUGGCCAUGCAGAGGGUCCUCAUGGCACAGGUGGAAGCUUUUGUGAGUUCGCUGCAAGCCAAAGCUUUGCCAUCUGAUCCCAGUCCUCACUGAGCUCUGGCAGCAGCCUCCCAGCCCAGCAGUACCCACCAGUGCCCAGAGGAAAGGGGGCAUCACCUCUGUGAGCUCCAGCCCAAGAUCCUGACAGCAGGGGGCCAAAUCCUGGCCCCCCUUGGCCCCUGUGUUUGGGGCAGGGGCUGGUUGGAAGCGGGGUGCUGAGUUUCGGGGUGCCGUAGUGGGCUCUUCGUGUGUGCUUUGGGGACCACCCCCACCACCCCUUUCCCACCCACAGGGAUUCCCAGCUGGGAACACUGGAGCCACUGGUGAAAUUCCAGGGGAAAAUGUUGCAGUUCUGUUAAUUUAUUGUUUAUUUAAUA